rnacentral:rRNA from 1 species
UGGGGAAUUUUGCACAAUGGAGGGAACUCUGAUGCAGCGACGCCGCGUGAGUGAUGAAGGACUUCGUUUCGUAAAACUCUGUUCUAUGGGAAGAAAAGGACUGUACCAUAGGAGAAAGCUCCGGCUAAAUACGUGCCAGCAGCCGCGGUAAUACGUAUGGAGCGAGCGUUGUCCGGAAUUUUGGGGCGUAAAGGGUGCGCAGGCGGCUUUACAAGUUGGAUGUGAAAUAUUGUGGCUCAACCACAAACGUGCAUCCAAAACUGCGAAGCUUGAGUUAAGGAGAGAUAAGUGGAAUUCCUGGUGUAGCGGUGAAAUGCGGAGAUAUCAGGGGGAAUACCGGGGGCGAAGGCGACUUACUGGACUUAAACUGACGCUCAGGCACGAAAGCGUGGGGAGCAAACAGG